rnacentral:misc_RNA from 1 species
GCAAUCAUGGGGACAAGGGCAUAUCCAAUUUGUCCUGCAGCACCAGUGACAAGAAUGCGAACUGGUUCCUUCGCCAUGGAUAGAGAUACAGAAUUAAAAAUAAAAAGGAUUAGCUCUAGACCGGUACUGCGAAGGAAAAUGCUAAAGUGAGAGAAGAAGCAGAAAGUUAUUCGGGAUAUAAGAGUGGACAAAGCCCAAAUGUUUAUG